rnacentral:rRNA from 1 species
AUUGAACGCUGGCGGCAUGCCUUACACAUGCAAGUCGAACGGCAGCGGGCCCUUCGGGGUGCCGGCGAGUGGCGAACGGGUGAGUAAUGCAUCGGAACGUACCCGGGAGAGGGGGAUAACCGGCCGAAAGGCUGGCUAAUACCGCAUGAACUCGGAAGAGCAAAGCGGGGGACCUUCGGGCCUCGCGCUCUCGGAGCGGCCGAUGUCCGAUUAGGCUAGUUGGUGGGGUAAAGGCCCACCAAGGCGACGAUCGGUAGCGGGUCUGAGCGGACGAUCCGCCACACUGGGACUGAGACACGGCCCAGACUCCUACGGGAGGCAGCAGUGGGGAAUCUUGGACAAUGGGCGCAAGCCUGAUCCAGCAAUGCCGCGUGGGUGAAGAAGGCCUUCGGGUUGUAAAGCCCUUUCGGCGGGGAAGAAAUCGGUCAGGCGAAUAGUCUGGCCGGAUGACGGUACCCGCAGAAGAAGCACCGGCUAACUACGUG